CGUCAUUCGUUCGUCGUCCUUUUGAUCGUUGAGCAGGCGCCGCUCGCUUACCGACAUUAUAUACAAAAUUAUACUAACAGAGGGUUACCUACGUCAUCUACUUUGUAAAACUUAUUUGAGAGGUUCGGGUUACCAAACCUCUUUGUAUCAAAACCGUGCCACGUGCAAUAUAAGUCAUAUAUUGCCUUAUUUCUACAUAUUUAAACACUCCUGAGGGUGUUUAUUUUUUCUUUAAUUUUAUGUAUACUUUGUAUAUUGCAUUACAAAGUAAUUUAAUAUUGUUCGGUGGACUCAACCGAGGAAUUGUUGCUGAUUUGGAGGUGUUGGAGGCUCUGCUGUUUUAUGGAGGAGAGGCUGCUUGUCCAGUGGCUUGCUUUUGCAACUGGUGCUUUUGCUGCUUCGCACUGCUUUUAUUUAUUUGCUCACUCAUGGUGACACUGCAUUCAGGGUUUGCACUAUCCUGCUUAUCUAUUUAAAUCUAUCACUGUUGUUUGUUGUGAUGAGUUGGCAUCGGUUAAAAUUUUAACCGAUGCCAACUCAUCACAACAAACAAAUUAAUAUAAUAUAUCAUAACACACGUACCAAUCGUUUUUAACAAUAUAAGUACGACACUAGAUUAGCUUCACAAUUAGCUACGUAAACUAAUUCGGAUAGUAAAUUAAUCUUAUCCUACAGGACACCGUUACAACGGCAUGUCAGUAAUUAUUCUGGCGUACUGUUUGUACGUCCCAUACCUAAUAAUCCUUGUAAGGUAAGAUUGUAAUCUAUAACGAAUCUGUCUUGGCUAUAGUACCCACGUAGACGUUGCGAUCAUUGAAUCGCUUUGAACGUCUAGUUAGAGAGCUCGGCACAGGAUGUUGCGAUUUUCAUUUCCGUAAAUGAAAAUUAAUAAUAUGAAUCUAAGAAAGCAAUCUCUCAGUAUUAAAAUACUCGUUACGGUUUACAUAUUAUUUAUCCUAUACUAUUUGCUAAAUUGUUAGCGCCUACCAAAAAUGUUAAGCAAUUUCAUAAAUACGUAAAUGUUGUAAAUCAGAAAAUCUAUGUAUGACUUUCUUCGCAAGUACGCGCGCAAACGCAUCAUCAGAACGAUCCUGCUUGCCUUCAAAGCCUGGAGGAAACGAUUUCCGGACGAGAACCUGGAGGAAGUCAACCGUGAUGCCUAGCGCUGCCGUACGCACUACGCGAGGAGUGCGGGGGGAGAUGUUUGAGAUCACUUUCAGCCCUUGAGGAAAGCUCCACAUAGCCACGAGUGAAGCAAACAAUAGAAGGGCCCCCAGGCGCCCGGGUACCUUUAAAAAAAAUAUUAUUCAAUAUGCUGAUGUCAAUAAAAAAAAUCUUGAUAUAUCUUAGAAGCAAAAAGCUCUACUUUGUGAGCAGAUGUUGUUGUUGUUUUUGUUGUCGUUAUAUUUUAUUUUUGGCAAAAAUUGUUUUUUCUUUUUUAAAUCAGAUUAUGUGUUACGCAACAUGCAAACAAUUAGAUUGUUGGUUUAUACUCAAACUGCAAGUGUGAAGUGGUAUGAUGAUAAUGACAAAAGCUGAAGAGGGACCCACACUCAUUUAUGCAACGCCAUUCCUGUACUCAUUCGCUUACGUAACAACAUAUUAACAUGUUCCGGUUUUUAAUCAAAUUUAUGUUAAAGUUUUGAGUGACACUGAAUAUUUUAAAUAUUAUUAUUAUUAUUUCAAAAUAUUAAUAGCUCUAAAUUCAUGUCUUUGAGUCAAAUAAUCUAGAGAGGUGGUCGGCAAAAAUACGGCUGAUUGAGGACUAUAACUUUAUUUUACAUAUUUUUUACCGGACACUUGGCUAUUAUAUAUCCUUUUAUUUAUGACUUAAUCUUUAAACUCUGAGAAACUUGUGUAUCCGAUGUCCUCUAGCUACCGAGCGCAAGGUGACGAUAGCGGGGACCAUCGGCGUCGGAUGGAACUCCGCAAUAUCGUAUAGUGUGGAAUAUCGCGCGAUAUUCUCGCGAUAUGCGAGGUGUCCUAGGGCCCUUUCCGACCUUGGACAUUCUAGCGGAUAUAGACGUGACUGUCUAACAGCAUCAUAUCGUGUUUCUUCAUGCAUUAACGGGGCAAUUAUUGUUCAUCAUAUAUUUUUGUACAUUUUUAACGAAAAAUGCAAGCGAAGCCAAGAAGGAUAGGUUAUUUAUGUUGACAAAAUUGUGCUAUAAAUCUGUCAAUUCUAAUUGAUACGCUUAUAUAAUAUUUAAUUAAUUAAUUUCUGUAUGGAACAAAUGCCGGUCAAAAUAUAACAAAAGGCCCGCGGCCUCGUAAUUGCUUUCUGUAAAUAUUUACAGGGUUAGCGGUGAAUAUUGUAUGCUGAAUUUUUUAAUAAAAACUUAACUCAAUUUUAUUUUUCAACUAUUUGAUCAAACUACUGCUUUAUACUUUGUACAAGCAUAACUUUUGUUUAUAAAUUUACAAAAUAUACUGUAUAUUUAAAUUCAAUACAUACCUGUUUUAUUUAGUAAAAACAAAAUAAUGGGA